GAAAGAAAUCAUAAGGAGGAAAUGGACCGGACUAGUACAAGUAUGAUUUGCUUAUGCCGCCAAGUGUGAAGUUGCACUUGAGAAUAAAUGAUCUCCUCACCUGCUAACACCACACAAGAGCUGAAGAAGGAAAACAAAGAAGGAGAAUCAGAGAAGACUAUCGGGAGGAAUUCAGAACAUCUUCACCUGGAUUUUCAUCGGUAUGUAGAAAUGUACAUGGUCAGAGCUGAAGGGAUAAUCUAACUUUUGACUUUCUCCUAUAUUUUGCAGCUUAUUGAAGGGCACAACUGUCCAUCCCAAGUCUUCCAAGCCCAAAUCCUGGGGUGACUUUUAACUCCUUUUUAAAAUUUUUUAAAAAAGUUUAUUUAUUUUUGAGAAAGGGAGAGAGAGAAUGCAUGAGUGAGGGAGGGGGGAGAGAGAGAGAGAAGGAGGGAGAGAAUCCCAAGCAGGCUCCAUACUGUCAGCAACAGGAGCCCUCUGUGGGCUUAGACCCACGAAUGUGAGAUUGUGAUCUGAGCCAAAAUCAAGAGCCAGACGCUUAACCCGCUAAGCCACCCAGGUGCCCCUUGACUCUUUUCUUAAAAAAAAAAAAAAAAAAUCAUAUUUAAUGAGUCAGCAAAUGCUAACGAUCUUCCCUCCACAAGUUCCUGACAUGUGCUCACGUUUCCCAAAUCUUCCACACUUUCAUCUUACCCUGUUUCAGGUACUCGUCAUCUCUUUCCUGGAACGCUGUGCCCACCUCCCGACUGGCUUUCCUGUUUCCAGUCUUUCCUCCCUCGUAUCUAUUCUCCAUCACCGGUAUGAGUCAUUGAUCUACAACAACAUCUAUCUGACUGUGUCACCACUGUCAGCAGUUCCCAAUGACAUGACUGUGGUAUUCCUCAAACUCAGCGAACCUCAAAGAUGGACCCCUGAGGUGAAAUAUUUUAUGGUAAGCAGACAGGCAACUUGGAAAGCAAUGGAUCCGAUCCUAAAGUACCCAAUAUGUGGUAGCCAACCCGAAUGAGGAAAAGGUAAGAAUUUGACCUUGUAUGAAUAAUACUGUGCAAUGCAUCUUGUGAUAUAUGCUUUUAUGUUAAAAUGCUUAAAAUUGGUUUAAUCUGUAUAGUCAGGAGAUGUGCUCUUUGUUUUCCAGUUGACUACAUGCCUUUGGUAUAACUUGCAAGUUAGGGAAAGAAGAUGACAAUUCUAGUUUCAGUUAGAGGGGUUGUAAAUGAAUGUAGAACUCUCUCUGGGGCAGAGUUAUUUCUUAGUAUGCUCUGAACUUUGAUAAUGUAAAAUGACUAUUAUUUUGAUUUUUUACUCCUUACAUAACCAUACUGUUUGCACAUCAACAGAUAAGAGUACAUGGGUGCUUCCAUUUCAGGCCAGUCCUAACUAUGUUUUUAACAUUCUAGAAGGGCUGUAUUUGUAAUUUGGUGAGUCCUUCAGUGCAAGCCAUAAAAUGUUAUUGAUACAGUUGUCUAGUGUUUAGGUAGAAUAAAUUGUUCAUUUUAAAAUUUUUUUAUUAUAUU
rnacentral:lncRNA from 1 species